CCCACUGUUGCCUAUCGUAUCUCUCUCGCUCGUUCAUUCGAAGGCUCCAUGGUUGGUUCUUUGUCUCGGCGGUCCGAACGGCUCAGGAAAGCCACGUCUAUUGGGGUGCAUAAAGCUGAUACUUAGGUAUAAAGAUGGCCGGUGUCGUUAUAUUCAAUUGUCGAGAAUGAGGGGAACUUUCUGGCUAUCACGUGUGCGUGUGUUACAAACCCUGCAUCAGCAUAGGACCAUGCACGCGGCAGGAGAAACACAAGACCAACUAGCUACCAAACUAAAUGACUAUAUCUCUACUCC